GCCUCCGUGGAGCAAGGCAGCUCGCUCCCGCCCAUUCCAAGGGCAAUCGUAAUAGCAAUCAAGGGAGAGCCGGCGGUUCGACCCCGCCCGGAGGCA